ensembl:misc_RNA 7SK 7SK RNA
GGGUGAGGUGAUCUGGCUUUGACAUCUAUCACUCCUUUGUCAGCAGGGUUGAUUUCUUCUGACUUAGCUAGUUGGAAGGGUCACCCCUUCCUCCCUCCCUGAUCCUUGUGUGGCCUGCCUCAAGCUAAGCCAAAGAAUUUGGUCUUGUGAACUCUAUCUGGGCUCUUCUUUGGUCAAGAGGAUCUGAGGAGUUGAGACAUAUUAAUGGAAACUCUGCACUUGGAAUGGCAGCUUCAAGCAGCCCAAAUACCUAUUUUUGUAACUGAAAUGAGAUUCUGACAUGCAGACUAAGCUGUCAU